AUUCAUAAGGGCGUAUGGUGGAUGCCUUGACUCUAAAAGGCGAUGAAGGACGUGGCAUGUCUGCGAUAAGCUUCGGGUAGGUGACUAGCAACCUGUGAUCCGGAGAUUUCCGAAUGGGGGAACCCAAUCUGUUGAACACAGAUUACCUUGUAUCUGUAAAGGAUACUCGGAGUGCACCUGGGGAAGUGAAACAUCUCAGUACCCAGAGGAAAAGAAAACAAUGUCUAUUUAUUUAGAUAAUAUUUCGUAAGUAGCGGCGAGCGAAAGCGAAAGAGCCCAAACCAGCAUAUUUUGUUAGUUGAAUCUGCUGGGAAGCAGGACCCUAGAGGGUAAUAGUCCCGUAAACGAAAACAAUCUAUCUUUUUUAUUGUUGUUCCUGAGUACCUCAAGACACGAAUGGCUUGGGGGAAUCUGCCGGAACUAACCGGUAAGGCUAAAUACUUUUAGAGAUCGAUAGUGAACAAGUACCGUGAGGGAAAGGUGAAAAGAACCCCGGAGAGGGGAGUGAAAUAGACCUGAAACCAUAUGCCUACAAGGAGUGGGAGCCGUCGUAUCUUACUGCGUAAGAACGACGGAAUUAUAAAUGAUAAAUUUUUAAUUUCGUCGCAUCUUGCAUAGCAAGAUGCGACGGUGACCGCGUGCCUAUUGAAGAAUGAGCCAACGAGUCUAAAUAUGCAGCUGCCUAAUUGCGUUAGCAAGGAGGCACAGCGAAAGCGAGUGUGAAUAGCGCGAAAAAAUUAAGUUGUAUGUUUAGGACCCGAAGCCAAGUGAGCUUGCCAUGAGCAGGGUGAAUUUCGUCGAAAGACGGAAGGAGGCCCGAACCGGUUAGUCGUUCAACUCUAUCGGAUGACUUGUGGCAAGUAGUGAAAAGCUAAUCGAACUUGGUAAUAGCUGGUUCUCUCCGAAAUAGCUUUAGGGUUAGCGUCUAGAUUACCUACUGGGGGUAGAGCACUGGAAGGAUUGAAUAGGGGGAAACUUCGUCAAUCCUAUCAAACUCCGAAUACCAGUAGUCAAUUUCUAGGCAGUUAGACUGUGGGGGCUAAGCUCCAUUGGUCAAAAGGGAAACAGCCCAGACCUACAUCUAAGGUCCCAAAAUUCAUACUAAGUGCACUUAAGGAGGUGAAAUUUCUCAGACAAUGAGGAGGUUGGCUUAGAAGCAGCCAUCCUUUAAAGAUAGCGUAACAGCUCACUCAUCAAGAGAUAUUGCGCCGCAAAUAAUCGGGGCUAAGUAUGGUACCGAAGGUUAGGAUGUCACAUUUUUAAUGUGGCGUGGUAGGAGAGCAUUCUGUUCUGCAAUGAAGCCAAAGGCGUAAGCCAUGGUGGAGCGUACAGAAGCGAGAAUGUUGGCACAAGUAACCGCAAUGCAGGUGAGAUCCCUGCACGCCGAAAGACUAAGGUUUCCUUCGCAAUGGUGAUCAGCGAAGGGUUAGUCGGGCCUAAGGAGAUGGUGAAAACCGGAUCUGAUGGACAUACGGUUAAUAUUCCGUAACUUCUUUAUAUUUCGAUGGAGUGACGGAGGACACAAGUAAGAGCACAUUAUUGGAUUUGUGUAUUUUAUUUUAAGAAUUGUUUCUUAGGAAAAUCCGGGAAACUGACUUUAAUGUCGAAUUUCGUAAAUAGAUUAAAUUUCUUCCCUCGGGUUGGAAAAUUCUUACGAAGAGCCUUCCAAGAAAAGCUUCUAAGGUUAAGUAUAAAGAACCCGUACCGUAAACCGACACAGGUAGUCAGGUCGAGAAGACCAAGGCGAACGAGUGAUAAUUCCCCAAGGAACUCGGCAAAAUAGCAGCCGUAACUUCGGAAUAAGGCUUGCCCUUCUGUAAAAGGAGGGGCCGCAGCGAAAGUAACCCUGCCGACUGUUUAUCAAAAACACAGCUCCCUGCGAACUCGCAAGAGGAUGUAUAGGGGGUGACGCCUGACCAAUGCCAGAAGGUUAAAUAUUGGUGGUACUCUGAUAUAAGCCCUGGUGAAUGUCGGCCGUAACUAUAACGGUCCUAAGGUCGGCGAAAUUCCUUGUCUAGUAAUUGUAGACGUGCACGAAUGGCGUAACGAGUGGGGUACUGUCUCGGGGAACAGCUCGGUGAAAAUACAAUACCGGUGAAGAUGCCGGUUACCUGCAGCUAGACGAAAAGACCCCAGGAGCUUUACUAUAGCUUGGUAUUGGGUGUAUGUUUUUGAUGCGUAGCAUAGGUGGGAGACUUUGAAGGGCAGUUUUUGGAUUGUCUGGAGUCAACAGUGAAAUACCACUCUUUAAAAAUGUACAUUCUAAUCUCGACGGAAAAAACGGCGGGAGACAGUAUCUGGCAGGUAGUUUUAGUGGGGCGCUAUCCUCCUAAAAAGUAACGGAGGAGCCUAUUAAGGUCAGCUAAGCGCGAAUGGAAACCGUGCUGAUAGUGUAAUGGCACAAGCUGGCUUGAUUGUGAGGCGUGCAUGCCGAACAAGUGCGAAAGCAGAGCAUAGUGAACCGACACCUCGCAUUAGACGCGGGUGAAGAUUAACGGAUAAAAGCUACCCUGGGGAUAACAGGCUGGUAUCGCCUAAGAGUUCAUAUCGACGGCGAUGUUCGGCACCUCGAUGUCGGCUCAACUUAUCCUGGGGCUGGAGAAGGUCCCAAGGGUUUGGCUGUUCGCCAAUUAAAAAGUUACGCGAGCUGGGUUCAGACCGUCGAGGUGAGACAGGUUGGUCUCCUAUCUGCUGCAGGCGUUGAUUCUUGAGAAGAUUUGCUCCUAGUACGAGAGGACCGGAGUGAACUAACCUCUGGUGUACCAGCUGUUCCGCCAGGAGCACCGCUGGGUAGCUAUGUUGGGAAUGGAUAACCUCUGAAAGCAUCUAAGAGGGAAGCCAACUUCAAGAUUAGGAAUCGUUUAAGAUCCCUGAGAGAUGAUCAGGUGAUAGGCUCUAGGUGUAAGCACAGUAAUGUGUUCAGCCGAGGAGUACUAAUGCAUCGAGACAU
rnacentral:rRNA from 3 species